UACGAAGGGGGCGAGCGUUGUUCGGAUUUAUUGGGCGUAAAGCGCGCGCAGGCGGUUUCUUAAGUCUGAUGUGAAAGCCCACGGCUUAACCGUGGAAGGUCAUUGGAAACUGGGAGACUUGAGUGCAGAAGAGAAGAGCGGAAUUCCACGUGUAGCGGUGAAAUGCGUAGAGAUGUGGAGGAACACCAGUGGCGAAGGCGGCUCUUUGGUCUGUAACUGACGCUGAGGCGCGAAAGCGUGGGGAUCAAACAGG
rnacentral:rRNA from 1 species